ensembl:snRNA Gm23932 predicted gene, 23932
GUGCUGUCUUUGACAGAACAUGUACUAAAAUUGGAACUAUACAGAGGAGAUUAGCAUGGCCCCUGGGCAAGGAUGACAUGCAAAUUCAUGAAGCGUUCCAUAUUUUU